rnacentral:rRNA from 1 species
GCAGUAGCCGCGGUAAUACGAAGGGUGCAAGCGUUACUCGGAAUUACUGGGCGUAAAGCGUGCGUAGGUGGUGGUUUAAGUCCGUUGUGAAAGCCCUGGGCUCAACCUGGGAAUUGCAGUGGAUACUGGGUCACUAGAGUAUGGUAGAGGAUAGUGGAAUUUCCGGUGUAGCAGUGAAAUGCGUAGAGAUCGGAAGGAACAUCUGUGGCGAAGGCGACUAUCUGGGCCAACACUGACACUGAGGCACGAAAGCAUGGGGAGCAAACAGGAUUAGAUACCCCAGUAGUCCCUGUCUCUUAUAC